GUAUUAGGUUGGUGCAAAAGUAAUUGCUGUUACUGCCACCACUUUUAAUGGCAAAAACAGCAAUUACUUUUACAACAACCUAAUAUUU
rnacentral:miRNA from 1 species